rnacentral:rRNA from 1 species
CAGUAGCUGCGGGAAUACAGAGGGUGCGAGCGUUAAUCGGAUUUACUGGGCGUAAAGCGUGCGUAGGCGGCUUUUUAAGUCGGAUGUGAAAUCCCUGAGCUUAACUUAGGAAUUGCAUUCGAUACUGGGAAGCUAGAGUAUGGGAGAGGAUGGUAGAAUUCCAGGUGUAGCGGUGAAAUGCGUAGAGAUCUGGAGGAAUACCGAUGGCGAAGGCAGCCAUCUGGCCUAAUACUGACGCUGAGGUACGAAAGCAUGGGGAGCAAACAGGAUUAGAUACCCCGGUAGUCCCUGUCUCUUAUAC